CUUGAUUUAUGCUUGAUUUGUUUUGUUCAGGUUACUGUGUGUAUGAGAUUACAUCACACCAGCCUGCGUUUAAAGCUCCGGCAGUCCAAAGGAUAAGACAAGAAGAAGUUUACUGCCAGGCAAGUUUGCUAAGGAGAGAGAUUCAAUUUUGGACAACCUUUAUCCGUUUUGGACGAACGCUAUGACUGGACCUAGCAGCUCACCGCAAGCGGCAUCAUCCACAAAUGGAACAGAGGAGGAACUUGAAACUAAAAAAGAGUUGAUCCAAGCUGCAACACAUUGAGCUGUAAGUUAGACCAUGAGACUCUACGCUACACACUGUAGAAUCUCAGCUACGUAAUGUUGAUGUCAGGGUUGUGAGUGGACAAGAAGCUGAAACUCAGGAGGAAGUUCUGGAACCAAUGGAUGAGAGAAAGCUUUCCAUUUCGAGCUGAGGUCAAUGAAGCCAAGACGGUGAAACUAAGAGCCGAGUGAAAUGUCUUCAGUACUGUGUAAGUUUACGAAACUUGUUCCACCGCAGAGUAAAGAAAGAGCAGAUGCAUUGGAGUGUUUGUUGGAGAAAUGUGCAGGGCUCGGAAAGCAAGAGAAGUAUAAAACACUUGCUGGCUUGCUUACACCAUUUGGGGGAAGAAGGUGUUUCGGCUAGGGACAAGUGUCCCGGACACUGCUAUUUGUUUCGUAAAGACACUCUUGUCUUCUCACAAACUCAACCAAGGAACCUGAUCAAGUUUGAGUAUGAGCUCAAAACCAUUUUCUUAACUCUUCAAAUAUGGAAACUUUCCUUCUUUUUUCUCUAAUAAGUUUUCAAUUUAGCUUGUGAACAAUCUGUUGUCCUGUGAGAUUUAGAUUAAAUCCCUAAUUUCACUAAUACUAAGAAGGGAUGUAGAACCAGCUGUCAUAAAAGUCUAUCACACACUAA